rnacentral:rRNA from 1 species
UACGAAGGGUGCAAGCGUUAAUCGGAAUUACUGGGCGUAAAGGGUGCGUAGGCGGUUCGGUAAGUCUGUCGUGAAAUCCCCGGGCUCAACCUGGGAAUGGCGAUGGAUACUGGCGAGCUAGAGUGUGUCAGAGGAUGGUGGAAUUCCCGGUGUAGCAGUGAAAUGCGUAGAGAUCGGGAGGAACACCAGUGGCGAAGGCGGCCUUCUGGACCAAUACUGACGCUCAUGCACGAAAGCGUGGGGAGCAAACAGG